rnacentral:rRNA from 1 species
AUGGAUAUGAAACCUGACAAUAUACUACUUGACAAUGAUAUGGUGCUGAAAAUCACCGACUUUGGUUUAUCGAGGCUUGAUGAAAUGACGCAAACCAUGAGUAAAGACCGUCUUGGAUCACUAGGAUAUUGUGCUCCUGAAUACUGGAGCCAGGGAAAGAUGUCUUUCAAAUCAGACAUGUACAGUUUAGGCGUUAUAAUUAUUGAACUAGUGACUGGACAAAAGGCGCUCCCCAUUAACAAUAACAAGGUACUUAGGAGAUGGAGGCAUAGAUGGAGGAAAACAGGGAAGGAAACACAGUUGGUUUACCAGCAAGUAGCAAAAUGCAUCAAAAUAGGGUUACUAUGCCAGGAAAUUGACCCGUCCGAACGGCCUUUUAUAUGGGAUAUCAUAGAUGAUAUCAGACAAGCGGAAGGUGUUAAUGGGUCAAUCAGAAAUGACUCUCAAUAUAAGUUUGGACAGAUAAGCCCUUACUCGGAGGACGAUGAUAUGCUUGGAAUUGAGCCGCUCGAACUACAUUUUUCUUUCCAGCUUAACAAACAGAUGUCAUGCACCAUUCAGCUAACCAAUGAGACAGGCUCUUACAUUGCCUUCAACGUCGAACAUAUGAACCCACUGUCAUACUGUGCACAGCCGCAGAAAGACAUUAUACCACCACGAUCCAAGUGUAAUGUAGAAAUAACAAUGCAACCGCAGGCCAAGGCACCGAGAGAUCAUACCAGCGAAUUCACUGUUUGGAGCACCAAAGUGAAUGAUGGCCUUGCCAUUGAGGAUAUGGCUACAAUCAAGUUCAUUAAAGAGGCAAUCAAUGUGGUCGAUGACGUGAAUUUGGAUGUGGCUUUUGACAUCAGUGAGCCACAAGAAGCAAGUGAGAAAACAAGUGUGACAGUCCAACCUUUAACACAGAUUACAGAUGAUGUAGCCCGUGCGAUUUGGUGUAUGGAUGCACAUCAGACAGAGCCAUUGAUUAUAACUGGUCACCGAUUUGGUGAUGUUCAAAUUUGGAACUCUGACACGCAGAAAGUGGUCGAUUGGGUUAAGGCCUCAGAGGAAGCAUUAUCCAUUGUUAAAUUUAUUGCACGAAUACGGUGGCUUGUGGCUGUGGCAUAUGACUGUUUCUUCCAUGUGUACAAGUAUGAAAAGGAAAUCGAAAAGGUCACGAGUUUCAAAGUUCACGGUUAUUAUGAAUGGGGGAGGUGUUCAUUAGACAUCCAUCCGACCCAGCCGUAUGUGCUGUCAGCGUGUCAUAUGCAAGUAAAGCUUUGGGACUGGGACCAGGACUGGAAUUGCAUACAGACAUUUGAAGAACAUUCAGAUAAUAUUAAUGAACUAAAAUUUAACCUAGAGGACACCAACAGUUUUGCAAGUGCUUCAGAUGAUUGUACAGUAAAGGUUUGGAGUCUUGAUUCUCCCAAAUCCAAGUAUACUCUGCCUGGGCAUUCACAUCACGUGUACAGCGUGGAUUUCUUCAAGCGUGAUGGUCAGCAGUAUUUGAUUAGUGGCUGUAAAGACAAGACUGCCAAGAUAUGGGACUUGCAGAAGGAGUGUGUUCAUACACUCCAACAUGAAUGUGACGUCAAGUCAGUCUUUGCCCAUCCCAGUCUUCCACUUCUAAUGACAGGUGGUGAAGAUGGUGCUGUUCGUGUGUGGAGCUCCACUGAUUUCAGGCUGAAGACAAAGCUUGGUGUCAGUAUGCCGGUUCGUGGUUUCGCAUGUUUGACCGGGUCAGAAAGGGUUGCAAUUGCACACUAUUACGGAAUGUCGGUGAUGGAAAUUGGUGAUGAAGAACGACAAGGUGGUAAUGAAGGCAGCCACGAGAAUUCCACAGCAGCUAUAGAUUAUGAGAAAAUCCAACGCCAAUCUGAGAGGGCUGCCAGUACGUUCUUCGAUCCUGAAAUUUGA